UAGCGGAACUAGCACCGCCGGAGGCAGCGGCAGGCGCAGCCGCAGGGAGGAGCGCGGAAGGAAAACCGUGUUGUUGUGAUUUCCCCCUCCUGGGCGGGGGCCCUGCGUUCCGCUAGUCACUUAGUGCUGCAGCAUCAAUGAGACGAAAGCGCUGCCUGCAGCCGCGCUGCGGGGCGGCCGCGAGCCCAGAGGCAUCCCGCCGCGCGCGCCUCCGAGCUGGUUCGCUCCUUCAGGGGAAUACAGCGUUAACGAGGAGCUGCUCCUGGUGGAGGGGCCUUUGAUGGCGGGAGCUUUGGACAAAGCCAGGCACCGCAGGUUACGAGACGGCAGCUGCCUCCAGAGCGCUUCUGCUGCACGUCCCACCCUUCGAUCUGGAAGGAUGAAUUGCUCACCUGGAAUUUCAGUCUCUAAGACGGGAUGAAGGAAUAUUGCUGCCGCUCAAUGUUAUCUGGGCUCCAGAUAUUGUCAGCAAUGAAUUACAAGUUUGCCAUUACAUUUGUCAUUUCCUUGAGAGGAUCGGUUUCUUAUUUUUAAGCCGCAGCAGUUGAAAGCUUUCAUUUCUGCUUUGAUGCGGAACCUGCCCCGGCAAUACAAAAGCCUCCGGCUCAAGCUCAGGUUGAGCACCUAAAAUUGAAGGCAUCCAAAGAUUUACCCUUCCCUCAGGAAUCCCAGCCCCUGCAGUACUUGUACUCUGCAAGGAGCAAGCCAGCUCCGCGCUGCUCUGCGCAGCACUCUGUCCUUCCUGGCACGGCACGAGGAAGCCUCCAGACCUCCCCGUGCUCACGGCCCCUCCGCCCGCACGCUGCUCUCCCCAGGCGCCGGCCUUCCUAGCAGCCCCGCGGACCUGCCAUGCCCCGGGCUCUGCCUCUCCGCUUCCUCCUUAACCCGCCCCAUCGCCAGCCCCGUGCCAGGGCAUCGCUGGCAGGCUCGUUGCCCCGGGCGGCUGCGCUCGGGGCAAAACCGCUGCACUCGGGGCCCGCGGCCACGGCGAGUGCACGGAGCUCUCCUGUCGUCUUGAUGAGCUUCUUGACUAAGGCUUAACCACUUCAUUAAUUUUAAAGAUACCAGCUUGCAACACAUUACCACAGCGGCAGGAUAUACUGAAGAAUGCUCGAGCGGGAAGGCGCCGGCGGCCCCGGGGCAAGCGCAUGCACCCUGCCGGCUCUGCUCGCCCCCGGCUCUCCCCCCACACUCAGGCCAACCGAAGCAAGAAAAAGGGUAUUUUUCAAUAAAACUUUUGCAGGUAUUUUAAAGCAAAAGCUAA